GGCUCUUGUUUUUCUGAAUAAUGCUUCAGGAUUGUCAACAAAAUUUCCUGGAAGAUGUCUUCUAUUCAUACAUUACCCUGCAUAAGAUAAAAUAGAAAAAUAUCGGGGUAAAACUGUAUGAGAGAAUAGAUAAGCUCAAUCAUAUUAGUGAUGCGAAUGAUAACUCAAAAUUCUAUAUUCAUUCCUGAUUAGUAAUCAACCUUCCCCGGC
rnacentral:lncRNA from 1 species